UAUGACUGAACGCCUCUAAGUCAGAAUCCAAGCUAGCAUGCGACGCUUGCGCUCACUGCUAGCCCCGACCCACAUUAGGGGCGCUUGUGCUCCCAAGGGCCUGUGCCAUUGGCUAAGCCGGUUCGGCCGACGUGUCGUGACCGGCCGCCUCGAAGCUCCAUUCCCAACGGGCGGCGGGCUGAAUCCUUUGCAGACGACUUAAAUAAGCGACGUGCAUUGUAAGUGACAGUGUGGCCUUGCUACCACGAUCCACUGAGAUCCAGCCCCAUGUCACAUAGAUUCGU
rnacentral:ncRNA from 1 species